ACGCCAGGUAACUUAUCUUCGCGGGAGCGCGCGACGGGAGAAUUGGUUUCCCCUUCCCCAUUGCCGGCGGACACUUGGGCUCGUCCUCGCUGGCUUUGGGCAGGGACGAGGGUAAAACCAUCCCGCCGGAGGGGGGCGCGCGCCCGGAGCGGAAGCCUGCGUCCCCUGGGCCACUGAGUAAGGCGCUGCUCUGGGAGUGAGGAAGGAAGGAAGCUUAUUCAGCACUUGCUCCUGCUGUAUUCAGAGUCCUCUGUCCAGGAGUGCAGAGUCUGAGCAGCCUCGGGGCCC